UAGGGGAUAUUGCACAAUGGGCGGAAGCCUGAUGCAGCAACGCCGCGUGAGUGAUGAAGGCCCUCGGGUCGUAAAACUCUUUUCAAGAGGAAGAGGAAGGACGGUACUCUUGGAAUAAGCCACGGCUAACUACGUGCCAGCAGCCGCGGUAACACGUAGGAGGCGAGCGUUACUCGGAUUUACUGGGCGUAAAGCGCGUGUAGGCGGCUGAUCAAGUUGGAUGUGAAAGCUCCCGGCUUAACUGGGAGAGGACGUUCAAAACUGAAUAGUUGGAGAAUGGGAGAAGAAAAAGGAAUAAAGGGAGUAGUGAUGAAAUGCGUAGAUAACCAGAGGAACACCAGUGGCGAAAGCGGUUUUCUGGCUGAAGACUGACGCUCAGACACGAAAGCUAG
rnacentral:rRNA from 1 species